UACGGAGGGUGCAAGCGUUAUCCGGAUUCACUGGGUUUAAAGGGUGCGCAGGCGGGCGAUUAAGUCAGGGGUGAAAGACGGUUGCUCAACAAUCGCAGUGCCUUUGAUACUGGUUGUCUUGGGUGACCUUGAGGUAGGCGGAAUGGGUGGUGUAGCGGUGAAAUGCAUAGAUACCACCCAGAACUCCGAUUGCGAAGGCAGCCUACUGGAGGUUCACCGACGCUCAGGCACGAAAGCGUGGGGAUCAAACAGG
rnacentral:rRNA from 1 species